GAAGGAGGACUGAAAGGAACUCUGGAGGUAUCAGAAGUGAGAAUGCAGGAAUAAGUAGCGAGAAGGGGAGUGAGAAUCUCCCCCGCUGGAAGACCAAGGUUUUCAGGGUAAAGCUUGUCUUCCCUGAGUAAGCCGGGACCUAAGCCCAGGCUAGAAUGCGUAGGCGAAUGGAAAACAGAUGAAUAUUUCUGUGCCAGUUCUACUUUGUGAAGGAGGGACGCAGAAGGGUAUGCGCGCAGACGAACGGAAGAGUCUGUAGAAGCAUGUAGAGUGACUUGGUAGGCAAAUCCGCCAGGUUAGACUUAAGGUGUGACAUAUACUCGCAAGAGGAAUGCGCAAAUCCCACGCUGCCGAGAAAAGCUUCUAGCGGUAAAGUAGAGACUGCCCGUACUGGAAACCGACACAGGUGGUCAGGAUGAGAAAUCUAAAGCGGACAGGCUAACUCUCGUUAAGGAACUCUGCAAAAUGGCCCCGUAACUUCGGGAGAAGGGGUGCCUUUAGGCGUGAGUAUACAAGCGAUACAAAGCGCUUUGAGGUCGCAGUGAAGAGGCUCAAGCAACUGUUUAACAAAAACACAGGUCUAUGCGAAGCUGUAAGGCGAAGUAUAUGGGCUGACACCUGCCCAGUGCCGGAAGGUUAAGAGGAGGAGUGAGAGCUCCGAAUUGAAGCCCCGGUGAACGGCGGCCGUAACUAUAACGGUCCUAAGGUAGCGAAAUUCCUUGUCGGGUAAGUUCCGACCUGCACGAAUGGUGUAAUGAUUUGAGCGCUGUCUUGACGGGAGGCCUGGUGAAAUUGUAUUACCGGUGAAGAUACCGGUUACCUACAGUAGGACGGAAAGACCCCAUGGAGCUUUACUGUAGCUUGGUAUUGGGUUUUGGCAUGGCAUGUAUAGGAUAGUUGGGAGACUGGGAAGGAAUGGCGCUAGCUGUACCGGAGUCAUCGGUGGAAUACCAACCAUUCCCUGCUGAAAUUCUAAUCUGUACUUUGGAGGUACGGAGACAGUGCUAGGUGGGCAGUUUGACUGGGGCGGUCGCCUCCGAAAGAGUAACGGAGGCGUUCAAAGGUUCUCUCAGGUUGGAUGGAAAUCAACCGCAGAGUGCAAUGGCAAAAGAGAGCUUGACUGCAAGACUGACGGGUCGAGCAGAUGCGAAAGCAGGACAUAGUGAUCCGGCGAUUCCGUAUGGAAGGGUCGUCGCUCAACGGAUAAAAGCUACCCUGGGGAUAACAGGCUGAUCCUACCCGAGAGUCCAUAUCGACGGUAGGGUUUGGCACCUCGAUGUCGGCUCAUCGCAUCCUGGGGCUGGAGAAGGUCCCAAGGGUUGGGCUGUUCGCCCAUUAAAGCGGUACGUGAGCUGGGUUCAGAACGUCGUGAGACAGUUCGGUCCCUAUCCACUGUAGGCGCAAGAAUAUUGAGAAGAUCUGUCCUUAGUACGAGAGGACCGGGAUGGACAAACCUCUGAUGUACCAGUUGUCACGCCAGUGGCACAGCUGGGUAGUCACGUUUGGCAUAGAUAACCGCUGAAAGCAUCUAAGCGGGAAACUAGCUUCAAGAUAAGUAUUCUACGAGGAAGCUUCGAGAACAGGAGCUGGAUAGGUUGGGGGUGUACGCGCAGUAAUGUGUUUAGCUGACCAAUACUAAUCGAACGAAAUUUUAAUCGG
rnacentral:rRNA from 1 species